CCGAGUUUACAACUCCCAAACCCAAUGUGAACGUUACCAAACUGUUGCCUCGGCGGGAUCUCUGCCCCGGGUGCGUCGCAGCCCCGGACCAAGGCGCCCGCCGGAGGACCAACCAAAACUCUUAUUGUAUACCCCCUCGCGGGUUUUUUUUAUAAUCUGAGCCUUCUCGGCGCCUCUCGUAGGCGUUUCGAAAAUGAAUCAAAACUUUCAACAACGGAUCUCUUGGUUCUGGCAUCGAUGAAGAACGCAGCGAAAUGCGAUAAGUAAUGUGAAUUGCAGAAUUCAGUGAAUCAUCGAAUCUUUGAACGCACAUUGCGCCCGCCAGUAUUCUGGCGGGCAUGCCUGUCCGAGCGUCAUUUCAACCCUCGAACCCCUCCGGGGGGUCGGCGUUGGGGAUCGGCCCUGCCUUGGCGGUGGCCGUCUCCGAAAUACAGUGGCGGUCUCGCCGCAGCCUCUCCUGCGCAGUAGUUUGCACACUCGCAUCGGGAGCGCGGCGCGUCCACAGCCGUUAAACACCCAACUUCUGAAAUGUUGACCUCGGAUCAGGUAGGAAUACCCGCUGAACUUAAGCAUAUAA
rnacentral:rRNA from 1 species